AGUAGAAGGGAAUGAUUUCCAAUCUAGAAUUCUAUUUGUAGCCAAAUUAUUAAUUAAGUAGAGGGGGUCGCAAUAUAGAUGUUUCCAAACAUAUAAAGUCAAAAAAACAUUACCUCACAGGGCCAUUUCUCAGUCAGCUAUCAGAAGAUUUGUUCAACCAAAACAAAAGAAGAGAAAAUGGAAUCCAGGAAACAAGAUCUCAACUCAUGAGAAAGCAAAUAUCUGGAUUAAUGCAAGGACUGAGCUAUGAGAAGAUGCAUUCCAGACUGAAGGAGGAAGAAGUGCCCUGACACUGAACGGUGAUGAGUGUGCACAAAGUCAUCUGCAAAUGCUUCUCUCCCCACCCACUCUACACCCUUCCUGCAUUCCCUUACGACC